rnacentral:ribozyme from 1 species
AAUUGAAGCAGCAAUCUUUCGGCGCGCUGCAUGGAUUAGACUUGCAAAACUUUUUGGAAAG